rnacentral:RNase_P_RNA from 1 species
AUGCUGGACCGGAUGGUCGCUGUCCUACUGUGGACGCCAGAGUUUCUCUGGGCUGCGCAGGGGGAGAGAGGAAAGUCCGAACUCCGCAGAGCAGUGUGCCGGAUAACGUCCGGGACGCCAGCUUUAAGGCUGGUAGACGGAAAGUGCCACAGAGAAUAUACCGCCUUUGGCGCAAGCCUCAGGUAAGGGUGAAAAGGUGCGGUAAGAGCGCACCGCCCGGGCAGUAAUGUCCGGGGCAUGGCAAACCCCACACGGAGCAAGACCAAAUAGGGAAGGAAUGGGGAUGGCGUAAGCUGUUCUCAUGCGUGCCGGCUCGGUGCGCCCAACUUCCGGGUAGGUCGCUUGAGCCGUUCAGCGAUGAACGGCCUAGAGGAAUGACCGUCACGGCGGCAACGCCGUACAGAAUUCGGCUUAUAGGUCCAGCAUCACU